rnacentral:rRNA from 1 species
GGAAGGGGUGUAUUUAUUAGAUAAAAAACCAACGCCCUUCGGGGCUCCUUGGUGAAUCAUAAUAACUUAACGAAUCGCAUGGCCUUGCGCCGGCGAUGGUUCAUUCAAAUUUCUGCCCUAUCAACUUUCGAUGGUAGGAUAGUGGCCUACCAUGGUGGCAACGGGUAACGGGGAAUUAGGGUUCGAUUCCGGAGAGGGAGCCUGAGAAACGGCUACCGCAUCCAAGGAAGGCAGCAGGCGCGCAGAUUACCCAAUCCCGACACGGGGAGGUAGUGACAAUAAAUACUGAUACAGGGCUCUUUCGGGUCUUGUAAUUGGAAUGAGUACAAUUUAAAUCCCUUAACGAGGAACAAUUGGAGGGCAAGUCUGGUGCCAGCAGCCGCGGUAAUUCCAGCUCCAAUAGCGUAUAUUAAAGUUGUUGAGGUUAAAAAGCUCGUAGUUGAACCUUGGGCCUAGCCGGCCGGUCCGCCUCACCGCGUGCACUGGCUCGGCUGGGUCUUUCCUUCUGGAGAACCGCAUGCCCUUCACUGGGUGUGCUGGGGAACCAGGACUUUUAC